AACGAACGCUGGCGGCGUGGAUAAGACAUGCAAGUCGAACGGAAUAUAUUUUGUAGCAAUACCGAAUAUGUUUAGUGGCGCAAGGGUGAGUAACACGUGGGCAAUCUGCCAAGAAGUGGGGGAUAGCUCGCCGAAAGGCGAAUUAAUACCGCAUGUGGUAAUCGAGGACAUCCUCGAGAAACUAAAGCCGGGGUAACCUGGCGCUUUUUGAUGAACCCGCGGCCUAUCAGCUUGUUGGUGAGGUAAUGGCUCACCAAGGCAAUGACGGGUAGCUGGUCUGAGAGGACGACCAGCCACACUGGAACUGAGACACGGUCCAGACACCUACGGGUGGCAGCAGUCGAGAAUUUUUCUCAAUGGGGGAAACCCUGAAGGAGCGACGCCGCGUGGAGGAUGAAGGUUUUCGGAUUGUAAACUCCUGUCAUCCGGGAGCAAUGCUUACAGUUUAACUGAUUGUAAGUUGAUAGUACCGGAAGAGGAAGAGACGGCUAACUCUGUGCCAGCAGCCGCCGU
rnacentral:rRNA from 1 species